UACGGCCAUACCACCCUGAGUGCACCCGAUCUCAUCUGAUUUCGGCAGCUAAGCAGGGUCGGGCCUGGUUAGUACUUGGAUGGAAAAAAAUACCAGUAUAAGCUGAGC
rnacentral:rRNA from 1 species